rfam:Pristionchus pacificus strain PS312 contig8307, whole genome shotgun sequence.
UCUUCAUUUCACGCGCUCUCUCACCGGUCAGAGAGGCGAGAGAGAGAGUGUGUGAAAUGAGGAGA